GAUGAACGCUGGCGGCGUGCCUAAUACAUGCAAGUCGAGCGAACGGACGAGAAGCUUGCUUCUCUGAUGUUAGCGGCGGACGGGUGAGUAACACGUGGAUAACCUACCUAUAAGACUGGGAUAACUUCGGGAAACCGGAGCUAAUACCGGAUAAUAUUUUGAACCGCAUGGUUCAAAAGUGAAAGACGGUCUUGCUGUCACUUAUAGAUGGAUCCGCGCUGCAUUAGCUAGUUGGUAAGGUAACGGCUUACCAAGGCAACGAUGCAUAGCCGACCUGAGAGGGGGAGGGCCCACAAGGGAGCGGAAACGGGGACAGGACGCAUGCGGGAGGCACCAGAAGGGGAGCGGCCGAAAGGGGGAAAAGCAUGGCGGAACGGGGCCGCGUGAGUGAUGAAGGUAUCGGGAUCGGAAAACUGUUUUAUGGGGGAAAAACAUAUGUGUAAGGAACUGUGCACAUCGUGAAGGUACCAAAUAAGAAAGCCACGGCUAACUACGUG
rnacentral:rRNA from 1 species